CAGUAGCCGCGGGAAUACGAAGGGGGCUAGCGUUGUUCGGAAUUACUGGGCGUAAAGCGCACGUAGGCGGAUAUUUAAGUCAGGGGUGAAAUCCCGCAGCUCAACUGCGGAACUGCCUUUGAUACUGGGUAUCUUGAGUAUGGAAGAGGUUAGUGGAAUUGCGAGUGUAGAGGUGAAAUUCGCAGAUAUUCGCAGGAACACCAGUGGCGAAGGCGGCUAACUGGUCCAUAACUGACGCUGAGGUGCGAAAGCGUGGGGAGCAAACAGGAUUAGAUACCCCUGUAGUCCCUGUCUCUUAUAC
rnacentral:rRNA from 1 species